CUCCCCUGUCACACGCCCUGUGAGGGGGACAAGGGAACUUUUCCUGUUUCACUACUAUGCGGCUGGAGCCCAAAAGCACUCAUCCCAGCUCCUGCACCUGUCUGUCUGCAUGUUUCCCCCUCUUGUAAGGGGUUUGAGUACAUGGUGGCCAAGCAAACAGGCCACACCCUUGUUGCAAGUCCCGCGAGAGGUUCAGAGAACUCUCCCGUUUCACUCCUGCCUCAGGCCUCAGCCACCACAGUAAGUGGAACUCUAUACCUCCACCUCGCCUGGCUGGGUGGAGCCUCUAAACUCAGGAUUCUGCCUUGAGCUGUGGCUCUCCCCUCAGGUUGACAGGGUCCAGAGCAAAACCUACGGAAGAAGCUGCAGAGGCCAGGUGGAGGGAAGGAUGCUGAACUGGAGGAGGCCAGGAAAUUAUGAGGUACACCAAUCAAACAUAGUGUGUCCAGAAUUUGUGGGUUCUUGGUCUCACUGACUUCAAGAACGAAGCUGCGGACCCUCACGGUGAUUCUAAGCACAUUAAAAUCUGGAUGACACUUAUCUGAAUCAUUUCGCAACUUGGAGAGAGAUGGAGAAGACACGCAUGGUGUAACUGGGCAUCACCAGAAUGUGCACUGCCAUCUGUGGCUGUCUUCCUGCUGGCAAAUCCUUUUCAUUCCAAGCAAAUAAGAUUCCCUAAAUUAGACAAAAAGGAAGAAACACAACAGAGUCCAUAAUUCUGAGAGGAAGAGAAGAGUGAUCAUCAGCAGCAAAAGGCAAUUGCAGAGAAGCACCACCAAGAGCCAGCUUCAUGCUCAGGAGUGAAUGCUGAGCCGCCUCCUCGUGGUUUCCGGUGCUCCACAUGUUCAGAGAAACUUCUCUGCACCUCUCCAGAUUGACAAAGUCUCCUGACAAUUACUGAUCAGUCACAUCUACAAAUGUUUGUAGCAUUCUGAGGUGUGACUUAUCUACAUCUUGGGAAAUACAUUUCUGCAAUUAAUUAAUUACUGAUUAAUGGAGCAACUACAGAAAAUAUUCAAAUCGAAGAAAGGAAGGUGGACAAGGGAAAGGAUGGAAAGAUGAGUAUGACCCAGUCCUGUACUGAAGAUGAACAGACUGGACGUCGAAACAUAAAUAAAAUACAUUGACAAAUGCUGAGACGACCUAGUCUGAGAAGCACUGUACUGUGGGCUGGUAUCAAGGCUUAGUGGGCACCGGGACGGGAGCCACUUUUGCCUGGGAAAAUAAGGUCACUGAGCAUUGGAGGACAAAUAGAGUUUGUGAUGUGUUGUGGGACAUGUCACAGAUGCCUCAUGGCUAUAAGAUAAAAGUGCUCUGCUGGGGAGACUGGCUGAGGUAGUGGUUACGAAAUUGGGAACAGAGAGUGGAGGGCCAAGCUAAACAGCGGGGACCUCAGACACUUCAUUGGAUAAACCCAGCGGUUAAGUCCCUACAGGUUCUCAAGCAGGGAGUGCUGUGGCCCACAAUGGAACUUUCCCUUUGUGGAGUAUUAAUUGAAGAUGAGAGUGUGUGGGGCUGGAGCCUGGAGGCUCUCUGCUUCUCACCUUUUCCAGAUAAAGUUUUCUUCUGCACUUUGAAAACCCUUUCUUGUUGGAAGGCAACUUCCCAUUGUAAAGAAACUCUGGCUGGUGUCCUCUAAGCACAUUUACUUUGGAGAGGUGUAGGAUUAGCAUUUUCACUGAAAUAGUUUUUGUUUCUAAAAGGGCUUACUUUAAGUGGUUAAAACCUCCUUUUUCCCUCAAGCCAUUGCACAAUAUCGAUCACAGUAUUUGUUCAUUUAGCAGAUCUUUUCUUCCUGUGGCCACAAUGAAGGUCAGUGUUGAGCUUUAAUGCAGUCCCUGUCCAAAUGAUGAUCAAUUUCAAAGGAAUAAGAAAUAAAAAUUGAGCUAGCAGUAUUAAAAAAUGAAUUUUGACUAUGAUUAUUCGUAAAAGCAGUGCAAUCAUG
rnacentral:lncRNA from 1 species